rnacentral:rRNA from 1 species
GGUUGAUCCUGCCAGUAGUCAUAUGCUUGUCUCAAAGAUUAAGCCAUGCAUGUCUAAGUAUAAACAUCUUUAUACAGUGAAACUGCGUACAGCUCAUUAUAUCAGUAAUGAUUUAUUUGAUGGUACCUUACUACAUGGAUACCCGUAGUAAUUCUAGAGCUAAUACAUGCGUAAAGUCCUGACUUGUGCAGCAAUGUGCAGGAAGGGAUGUAUUUAUUAGAUAACAAAAUCAAUGGCGUGUAGCAAUACAUGUCUUCCAUUGGUGACUCAUAGUAACUGUUCGAAUCGCAUGG